rnacentral:tRNA from 1 species
GUAUACAGCUUAGUGGCAGAGCACCUGCUUAGCAUGCACGAGACUGUGGGUUCAAUCCCCAGAAUGAAUACA